CCAGUUUGGUUACUCCACUGGCUUCAAAUUAUUGGAACGAUAGAGAAGAUUAGCAUGGCCCCUGAGCAAAGAUGACAUGCACAUUUGUGAUGUGCUCCAUAUUUGG